rnacentral:rRNA from 1 species
UACGUAGGGUGCAAGCGUUGCCCGGAUUUAUUGGGCGUAAAGCGCGCGCAGGUGGUUCCUUAAGUCUGAUGUGAAAGCCCACGGCUCAACCGUGGAGGGUCAUUGGAAACUGGGGAACUUGAGUGCAGAAGAGGAAAGUGGAAUUCCAAGUGUAGCGGUGAAAUGCGUAGAGAUUUGGAGGAACACCAGUGGCGAAGGCGACUUUCUGGUCUGUAACUGACACUGAGGAGCGAAAGCGUGGGUAGCAAACAGG